AAACAUGUUACUAAACCAAUUAAGAAGAAGUAAAUAAUUUUCUGCACUCACAGGGCUUUAAAUAUGCGAAAGCAUUUAUACCUUGUGAACAUUAUAAGUGGUUUCCUGUACUUUAGUUGAAAAGUCUGUUGGGAUUUGAGGAGCAAUGAACCUGCACAAGACCAACUCAGAAAAAGAAACAAAAAGAAAACCAGCACAUAAAGGGUUCACUCAAAACAUGUUACUGCAGAAUUUUUAUCUGUCUAAUCCAUAAAAAAAUUGGUAUUUUGCAGCUGUACCAUGAAUGUUCUCCUUUGAAGCUAUCAGCUAUUGCCGUGAGUUUGUUGGGAAUGACAAUGGUUUUGUCAGAAAGCUUAUCACUUCCAUUGGAGUCUCGUUGUAGUUGAAGGGAGUUCAUGGUAAUAGAGUUCAUUCGAAGCCUGCAUUUGAAUGGAACUGCUCUUGGUUCUUUUGUGCGGCCUGCUGUUCUAAUAACUGAUGCUUACAAUGCUUUGAACAAUCAGCCUUACAGAUGGCAAAAGGACAAAGAAUUUGGAGGUCACUGCAUUAAAGUCACAAUUGGAUAAACAAAAUAAACGAAAUGAAGAACGUGACAAAAGACUUGAUGCAAUCAUGAACUUUUUUUCUCAAAAUUAUCAAG